rnacentral:rRNA from 1 species
CCCUACGGGGCGCCUCAAACACCUUUUCGAGGGUUUCCCUCUGGUUUUCAGAGGCGGUAUCUUUUAGAAUGCCUACGCGAUUCUCCAGCCUAUCAAGCCUCAGCACGGUUUCUUUUUGACUUGAUUCUGAUUUCGAUGACAACACUUGAAUUGCUUCUAUUAGCGCGCCGAGCCCGUUGUGAAUGUUUUUAACCCAAGGGAACUCCGUUUCCGGGGCGCGUUUCCGACCACAUAUCGCUCCAAUCACACGCUGGGUAAACUGGCGGACAACCCAAACGGCGUCCCCGGACGGGGGCUCCGCAACGAUGUAGGGAUAGCGGCUGCUGAAGCCCGAUUUCGCAAAAUGCAGAAGGGCGCGGGGCGGCCCCCCGAACGGCCAUGUCUCCUUCUCGAUUGUGCAACGGGUCUUGUGCCGUCCGAUCAAGGCAAAAAACGGAACGGCCAAAAACGCAAUUGGCGGGGGAGC